rnacentral:rRNA from 1 species
UACGUAGGGGGCAAGCGUUGUCCGGAAUCAUUGGGCGUAAAGAGCGUGUAGGCGGCCAGAUAAGUCCGCUGUGAAAUCUCGAGGCUCAACUUCGAGCUGUCGGUGGAAACUGUCUGGCUAGAGUCCGGAAGAGGAGAAUGGAAUUCCUGGUGUAGCGGUGAAAUGCGCAGAUAUCAGGAAGAACACCCGUGGCGAAGGCGCUCAUCUGGCCCAAUACUGACGCUGAGGCGCGAAAGCUAGGGGAGCAAACGGG